rnacentral:rRNA from 1 species
AGUAACGAUAAAGCGGGUGAAAAGCCCGCUCGCCGGAAGACCAAGGGUUCCUGUCCAACGUUAAUCGGGGCAGGGUGAGUCGACCCCUAAGGCGAGGCCGAAAGGCGUAGUCGAUGGGAAACAGGUUAAUAUUCCUGUACUUGGUGUUACUGCGAAGGGGGGACGGAGAAGGCUAUGUUGGCCGGGCGACGGUUGUCCCGGUUUAAGCGUGUAGGCUGGUUUUCCAGGCAAAUCCGGAAAAUCAAGGCUGAGGCGUGAUGACGAGGCACUACGGUGCUGAAGCAACAAAUGCCCUGCUUCCAGGAAAAGCCUCUAAGCAUCAGGUAACAUCAAAUCGUACCCCAAACCGACACAGGUGGUCAGGUAGAGAAUACCAAGGCGCUUGAGAGAACUCGGGUGAAGGAACUAGGCAAAAUGGUGCCGUAACUUCGGGAGAAGGCACGCUGAUAUGUAGGUGAAGUCCCUCGCGGAUGGAGCUGAAAUCAGUCGAAGAUACCAGCUGGCUGCAACUGUUUAUUAAAAACACAGCACUGUGCAAACACGAAAGUGGA